rnacentral:rRNA from 1 species
UACGUAGGGGGGCAAGCGUUGUCCGGAUUCAUUGGGCGUAAAGAGCGUGUAGGCGGCCAGGUAGGUCGGUUGUGAAAACUGGAGGCUCAACCUUCAGAGGUCGACCGAAACCAUCUGGCUAGAGUCCGGGAGAGGAGCGCGAAAUUCCCGGUGUAGCCGGUGAAAUGCGUAGAGAUCGGGAGGAAGGCCGGUGGCGAAGGCGGCGCUCUGGAACAUUUCUGACGCUGAGGCUCGAAAGCGUGGGGAGCAAACAGG